rnacentral:lncRNA from 1 species
GAGACAUUCAAACCCCACCUGGACACGUUCCUGUGGGACCUGCUGUGGGUGGACCUGCUCUGGCAGGGGGUUGGACUGGAUGAUCUCCAGAGGUCCCUUCCAACCCCAUGGGGUUCUGUGAUUCUGUGCUGCUGUCAGGGCACUCUCUGAGCAGGGGCUGAUGCUCUUUGUUUUCAUUUCUUGGACCCUGCUUCAGGACUUCAGCCUGCGUGGGAGCUGGGAUGCAGCAGCACCUGGGAGCUCCCAGAAACCGGUGAGAGAAGGAAAUGCCCAGUGGCAGCAGGAGCCGUCCCGGGAGCAGGUAGGGCCGACGAGACGUAUGUGUGUGGGGAGUCCUCUUUUUCCAGUGGGUUGUCCCUUGGACUGGCCCCACAUCCAGGCGGUGGGGAUGCCGUCCCUGCUGAGCAGGUAGGAGCCAGCCUGGCACCACGGAGCACUCUUCCAAGGUGGCUUGGGCCAGCUGUGCCAGAGGCGGGAGGUGAUGGGACCCGGUGCUGCCAAUUUCUGGGCUGUUUUCGCCUUGCCCUGGGGUUUACACCAGACCUUGUGCCUUUGCCCCGUGGCUCGACCACCUCUCUGGUGCUCAGGGCACUGCAGGCUUCUGUCUAGUUAAUUUUUUUAAGGGGCUUUUGAAAGGUGGUGGAUGUUGAAGUGGAGCCCUGCUCUGAUGUGCUGAGGGGCGUGAGCAGGGCUCCCCGAGCCCAAGAGCUGCUGGUGCACGUGUGCUGCCUGCAGAGAGGCUCCUCCACGGGCUGGGGGCUGUGGGGGCGACCACCCUACGCAUCCCACUUACACCCUGCCCUCGCCAGGCUGUUGGCCAUCAGCUGUCCCAGCGGCUGGACCGUCUGCAGAACGAGCUGGAGCCGAUCAAGGCUAUGCUUGGUACGUGGGACUGGCUGUUUUGGGGACUGUGGGACACCCCUGACCCAGAUGACCCCCCCUGUAGCCGUAGCUGGAGCCUACGGCUCGGUGGGGAUGGGGCUGGCUUCUGGUAGAGCAGGAUCCCAGCUGCGGGCCCAGGGGUCUGGGGGUGAGGUGUUGGGGAGGGGCUGGACUCACGUUGCUUGCCUCCUGCCUGCGCGGGUCUGCACUGCCCCGUUAGAAACCAUUGCCCGGAUGGUGUCCUCCAUGUGGGCUCAGCUCAGAGCAGCAGGAAUCCUUCCAGAAGAUACAGGAGUGGAGGAGAGCGGAGAUGCCAGGAGAGCCUGACAAGCUGGCACAUGGGGGGGGACUCACAAGGGCCACUCGUCCGUCUGCUGUGCCAGCUACUUGUGGGGCUCUUGAAUGAAUGAAUCUUUGCAUCCCUUAUAUUUGAAAUAAAGGUGUCCUUUUCUCCA